UACGUAGGGAGCAAGCGUUGUCCGGAAUCAUUGGGCGUAAAGCGCGCGUAGGUGGCCUCAUAAGUCCGCUGUGAAAGUCCAAGGCUCAACCUUGGAAAGCCGGUGGAUACUGUGAGGCUAGAGUACGGAAGAGGCGAGUGGAAUUCCUGGUGUAGCGGUGAAAUGCGUAGAGAUCAGGAGGAACACCCGUGGCGAAGGCGGCCCUCUGGCUCGACCCUGACGCUGAGGCGCGAAAGCGUGGGGAGCGAACGGG
rnacentral:rRNA from 1 species